rnacentral:lncRNA from 1 species
AAGUUGUUGUUCGCCGUCACUGAUUGUCAUUGUGGGUCCAAGAUCCCGCCGUGGUGGGUGGGUCAAAAUUUCAUUCGUCAUCAUUGGUUGCCAUUGUUGGUUGAAGUUCUGUUGGUGAAGUUGUCGUUGUUGUUGUCAUUGUGGUUCAAGCUCUCGUCUAUGGUAGGUGAAGCCCUUGUCCUGGUUGGUCCUUUAGGGCUUCGUUGUUGUGGUGGGUUGAUUUAUGUGAAGUUGUUAAGAGG